rnacentral:rRNA from 1 species
GACGAACGCUGGCGGCAUGCCUAACACAUGCAAGUCGAGCGAGCUGAUUCCUUCGGGAUGAAGCUAGCGGCGGACGGGUGAGUAACACGUGGGCAACCUGCCUCAUAGAGGGGAAUAGCCUUCCGAAAGGAAGAUUAAUACCGCAUAAGAUUGCAUCUUCGCAUGAAGAAGCAAUUAAAGGAGUAAUCCGCUAUGAGAUGGGCCCGCGGGGCAUUAGCUAGUUGGUGAGGUAACGGCUCACCAAGGCGACGAUGCGUAGCCGACCUGAGAGGGUGAUCGGCCACAUUGGGACUGAGAAACGGCCCAGACUCCUACGGGAGGCAGCAGUGGGGGAUAUUGCACAAUGGGGGAAACCCUGAUGCAGCAAUGCCGCGUGAGUGAUGACGGCCUUCGGGUUGUAAAGCUCUGUCUUCGGGGACGAUAAUGACGGUACCCGAGGAGGAAGCCACGGCUAACUACGUGCCAGCAGCCGCCGUAA